rnacentral:rRNA from 1 species
UACGUAGGUGGCAAGCGUUGUCCGGAUUUACUGGGCGUAAAGAGCGCGCAGGCGGUCGUCCAAGUCGCGUGUGAAAGCCCCCCGGCUCAACUGGGGAGGGUCACGCGAUACUGGUCGACUCGAAGGCAGGAGAGGGUAGUGGAAUUCCCGGUGUAGUGGUGAAAUGCGUAGAUAUCGGGAGGAACACCAGUGGCGAAGGCGACUACCUGGCCUGUUCUUGACGCUGAGACGCGAAAGCGUGGGGAGCGAACAGG